UACAGAGGGUGCAAGCGUUGUCCGGAAUUACUGGGCGUAAAGCGCGCGUAGGCGGACCUGCAAGUCGGGGGUGAAAGCCCGAGGCUCAACCUCGGAACUGCCUUCGAUACUGCGGGUCUCGAGUCCGGGAGAGGUGAGUGGAAUUCCUAGUGUAGAGGUGAAAUUCGUAGAUAUUAGGAAGAACACCAGUGGCGAAGGCGGCUCACUGGCCCGGUACUGACGCUGAGGCGCGAAAGCGUGGGGAGCAAACAGG
rnacentral:rRNA from 1 species